GACGAACGCUGGCGGCGUGCUUAACACAUGCAAGUCGAGCGGUAAGGUCCUUUCGGGGGUACACGAGCGGCGAACGGGUGAGUAACACGUGGGUGACCUGCCCUCAGCUCUGGGAUAAGCCUGGGAAACCGGGUCUAAUACCGGAUAUGACUCCAUGACGCAUGUUGUGGGGUGGAAAGCCUUGUGCGGCUGAGGAUGGGCCCGCGGCCUAUCAGCUUGUUGGUGGGGUGAUGGCCUACCAAGGCGACGACGGGUAGCCGGCCUGAGAGGGCGACCGGCCACACUGGGACUGAGACACGGCCCAGACUCCUACGGGAGGCAGCAGUGGGGAAUCUUGGACAAUGGGGGCAACCCUGAUCCAGCGACGCCGCGUGUGUGAAGAAGGCCUUCGGUUGUAAG
rnacentral:rRNA from 1 species